rnacentral:lncRNA from 1 species
UUGGCCACUCCUAAAUUUGGAGCAAGAAGGCCCCGAGGGAGGAAGGGGAAUCAUGUGGUCAAAAGUGCCCAGAUCAGGCCAGUACCAGGUCAGGGUGCAGGGGCUGAAACUCUGUGUCCCACUGAUGCUGGGGACGUAGGAGGACUGGGUUCAGAAGCCCCUCAGUGGUUGUUAGGAGUCUGAAGGUCCAGGCACCUAGACAGCCCUGGCGUGCUCGUGUUAUUAAUCAGGGGUCU